rnacentral:rRNA from 1 species
UACGAAGGGGGCUAGCGUUGUUCGGAAUUACUGGGCGUAAAGGGCGCGUAGGCGGUGUGUCAAGUCAGGCGUGAAAGCCCCGGGCUCAACCUGGGAACCGCGCUUGAGACUGGCACGCUAGAGUUCGGGAGAGGAUGGUGGAAUUCCCAGUGUAGAGGUGAAAUUCGUAGAUAUUGGGAAGAACACCGAUGGCGAAGGCAGCCCCCUGGGUCAAAACUGACGCUCAUGCACGAAAGCGUGGGGAGCAAACAGG